rnacentral:rRNA from 1 species
AUUGAACGCUGGCGGCAGGCCUAACACAUGCAAGUAGAGAGGAGAGGCGGACGGGUGAGUAAUGCCUAGGAAUCUGCCUGGUAGUGGGGGAUAACGUCCGGAAAGGGGCGCUAAUACCGCAUACUAUCAGAUGAGCCUAGGUCGGAUUAGCUAGUUGGUGGGGGAAAGGCCUACCAAGGCGACGAUCCGUAAGUUGUCUUAGAGGAUGAUCAGUCACACUGGAACUGGGACCCGGUCCGGACUCCUACGGGAGGCAGCAGUUGGGACUAUUGGACAAGUGGCGAAAGCCUGAUCCAUCCAUUCCGCGUGUGUGAAGAAGGUCUUCGGAUUGUAAAGCACUUUAAGUUGGGAGGCGUUACCAACAGAAUAAGCACCGGCUAACUUCGUGCCAGCAGCCGCGGUAAUUC